UGUUACCAGUUGGAUCUUAUGAGAAGUUACCCGAAAUAUUAAAAAAGUAACCUUUUUGUGUAAAAAGUAACCUUUUGACUACUACUACUCUUGCUUUUUGCGUUCCACAGCAUGGCUAAACCACCAUUUCAGCCUCUGGGGGCUAAAUACUAAAUUACUACAAACCGAAGGAGAUUUUACUCGUAAAUAGAAUCAUCUUAAGUAAGGCCCUGAUUGUUUGCCUUUUACUUAUGGGAUAAGAAAAAUACAAUUAAAGAGCAAGGAUUUAAAAAACAGUAGACGUUAAUUUCUUAAAUUCAUACUUGAUUUUUUUAAGAAAUUCAAUGUGACUGCAACUUGCUUAUUUCGCAACGUCGAUUGUAACGUCUUCAUUUAUAGUGAGAUUGACACAGAAACAUCGAUGAGUUCUUGAGCAUUUGUCCGCAUUUCUUGAUUUAACGACCGUUCUGUUUUAGAUAUACGAAAUUGUAAGUUAAUUCUAAAAAUUCCGAAAUAUCACGUAAAAGUAACCUUUUUAUUAAUGUAACCUAAAAGUUACCACUGCAGUCAAAAAAUCACCUAAAAGGUUACAAAAGUAACCUUCUGGCAACACUGAUUGGAUGUACCCACGAUGUACCCCAAGAGUAAAAUAAUAAAUAGUUAAUAAAUUGUUCUUGUUUCUUUCACUUGUUUCAGAUGCGUUUCUCAUAAUAUUGACAUUUCUUGUAAAGGUAUGUAGUUCAGAAUAACAAGUUAAGUGCUCAAUUAUUAAAUGGUGCAGAACUCAGACGAAUAAAGGAAAAAAGAAGUAUUUCAAAAUCUUAAUAGUAAAAAAUUCCUUUUAAGUUUUUUAUUCCUAUGGCAUUACAAUAUUGAUGAGUUUCCUUUGCCAUGUUAGCGUCCAAUAAAGGUCCAAUAUGAUACAGUAGGACUUGGAAAAUUUUUGGUUCAUACUUUAAAGCAAAAAAAAAACCUAAAGCCUUGGUCUUAAAACUUGGUAGGUUAAAUACAUGCAUCUCUAGCUAUCAUUCCUCUGUGUCUAUAGUCUCUAGUGAUCUGUGAUUUAGUCUAUGGCACUUAAUAUUUCACAUUUUUCAUGUAUCUAAUCUGUGUUUGUCUUUGACGUCUAUUCUGUCAUCUGUGGUUUAAAUUUAAACUUCAUUCAAAUCACAAAAAAUAACGAAUUUUUAUGAUGUUAUUUUUAAAACAAAAUACCUAUUUGAUAUUGUGAUUGUACUGCAUCCCCGUAACGAUAUUUAAUUGCAAAAAUCGAGGUAUUGUUGUAAUCAAUGCUAGAUUGAAAUAACAGUUGAUUUCAUUACUAUUUGUGAAAGUUUAUUUAUGUAGUUAAGAUGUCCAGUGCUUCCGUUACUUCGUCGAAACUUGAACUUGAG